CAAUAGCGUAUAUUAAAGUUGUUGCAGUUAAAAAGCUCGUAGUUGGAUCUGUGGCGUACGGUGGGCUCCGGGCACUUGUUGUCUGAGUAGCUUGCCGUUGCCAUCCUUGGGUGGAACCUGUGUGGCAUUAGGUUGUCGUGCAGGGGAUGCCCAUCGUUUACUGUGAAAAAAUUAGAGUGUUCAAAGCAGGCUUAUGCCGUUGAAUAUAUUAGCAUGGAAUAAUGAGAUAGGACUUUUUCGCUAUUUUGUUGGUUUGCGCGAAGAGGUAAUGAUUAAUAGGGACAGUUGGGGGUAUUCGUAUUCCAUUGUCAGAGGUGAAAUUCUUGGAUUUUUGGAAGACGAACUACUGCGAAAGCAUUUACCAAGGAUGUUUUCAUUAA
rnacentral:rRNA from 1 species